UUUGAUCCUGGCUCAGGAUGAACGCUAGCUACAGGCGUAACACAUGCAAGUCGAGGGGCAGCAGCAGAGUUAGCUUGCUAACUUUAGAUGGCGACCGGCGGAUGGGUGAGUAACGCGUAUCCAACCUGGCCUCUACCUGUGAAUAGGCUUUCGAAAGAAAGGUUAAUGCGCAAUGAGACCUAUUUUCCGCAUGGGAUAUAGGUGAAAGGGCAACCGGUAGGGGAUGGGGAUGCGUCCCAUUAGAUAGAAGGCGGGGCAACGGCCCACCUUGUCAUCGAUGGGUAGGGGUUCUGAGAGGAAGGUCCCCCACAUUGGAACUGAGACACGGUCCAAACUCCUACGGGAGGCAGCAGUGAGGAAUAUUGGUCAAUGGGCGGAAGCCUGAACCAGCCAAGUAGCGUGCAGGAAGACGGCCCUAUGGGUUGUAAACUGCUUUUGGAGGGGGGUAAAGUGAACGUCGUGCACGUUUAUUGCAAGUACCCUUCGAAUAAGGAUCGGCUAACUCCGUGCCAGCAGCCGCGGUAAUACGGAGGAUCCGAGCGUUAUCCGGAUUUAUUGGGUUUAAAGGGUGCGUAGGCGGGGAGUCAAGUCAGCUGUGAAAAUCCGGUGCCCAACAUCGGCAGUGCAGUUGAAACUGGCUUUCUUGAGAGUGCGUGAGGCAGGCGGAAUUCAUGGUGUAGCGGUGAAAUGCAUAGAUAUCAUGAAGAACUCCGAUAGCGAAAGCAGCCUGCCCUUUCACAUCUGACGCUGANGCACAAAAGUGCGGGUAUCAAACAGGAUUAGAUACCCUGGUAGUCCGCACGGUAAACGAUGAAUACUCGCUGUAGGCGAUAGACAGUCUGCGGCCAAGCGAAANCGUUAAGUAUUCCACCUGGGGAGUACGCCGGCAACGGUGAAACUCAAAGGAAUUGACGGGGGGCCCGCACAAGCGGAGGAACAUGNNGGUUUANUUCGAUGAUAC
rnacentral:rRNA from 1 species